rnacentral:rRNA from 1 species
UGAGUAAAGCUAUGGCGCUUUGGGAUGGGCCCGCGGCCCAUCAGCUAGUUGGUAGGGUAAUGGCCUACCAAGGCUAAGACGGGUAGGGGGCGUGAGAGCGCGAUCCCCCACACUGGCACUGAGACACGGGCCAGACUCCUACGGGAGGCAGCAGUGAGGAAUAUUGCGCAAUGGACGAAAGUCUGACGCAGCGACACCGCGUGGGCGAUGAAGGCCUUCGGGUCGUAAAGCCCUUUUCUGGGGGAAGAGAAAGGACGGUACCCCAGGAAUAAGCCCCGGCUAACUACGUGCCAGCAGCCGCGGUAAAACGUAGGGGGCAAGCGUUAUCCGGAUUUACUGGGCGUAAAGAGCGUUGAGGCGGUUUUGUAAGUUGGGCGUGAAAGCCCUGGGGCUUAACUACAGGGAAGCCCGUUCAAUAACUGCGAACACUUAGAGGGGCAGCAGCAGGGAGGUGGGAAUUCCCAGGAGUAGCGGGUGAAAUGCGUAGGAUAUCGGGGAGGAACACCCAGUUGGCAAAGGCGGCCUACUAGGGCUGCUCCUGACGCUGAAGGCGAAAGCUAGGGGAGCCAACGGGAUUAGAAACCCCGGUAGUCCUAGCCCGUAAACGAUGGAUGUCAGGUGAUGGGGGUUAGAUUCCCUCCGUGCCGCAGGUUAACGCGUUUAAGGCAUUCCGCCUGGUGGAGUACGGCCUCAAGGCUUAAACUCUUAACGUAAUUGACGGUGUGGUCCGGCAACAUUCAGCGGAGCGUAUGGUUGUAAUUCGAAUGUUACACGAAGAACCUUACCUGGGCUUGACAUACAGGUAGUAGUGAAGUUGAAAGCGGAUCGACCCUUCGGGGAGCCUGUACAGGUGCUGCAUGGCUGUCGUCAGCUCGUGCCGUGAGUUAUCGGGUUAAGUCCCGUAACGAGCGCAACCCUUGCUCUUAGUUAUACGUGUCUAAGAGGACUGCCGGCGGUAAGCCGGAGGAAGGUGGGGAUGACGUCAAGUCAGCAUGGCCUUUAUGUCCAGGGCUACACACACGCUACAAUGGCCGGUACAAUGGGUAGCUAAACCGCGAGGUGGAGCCAA